rnacentral:siRNA from 1 species
AGGUGAGACUCCGUUGAAGAUGU